rnacentral:rRNA from 1 species
UAGGGAAUCUUCCACAAUGGACGCAAGUCUGAUGGAGCAACGCCGCGUGAGUGAAGAAGGUUUUCGGAUCGUAAAGCUCUGUUGUUGGUGAAGAAGGAUAGAGGCAGUAACCGGUCUUUAUUUGACGGUAAUCAACCAGAAAGUCACGGCUAACUACGUGCCAGCAGCCGCGGUAAUACGUAGGUGGCAAGCGUUGUCCGGAUUUAUUGGGCGUAAAGCGAGCGCAGGCGGAAUGAUAAGUCUGAUGUGAAAGCCCACGGCUCAACCGUGGAACUGCAUCGGAAACUGUCAUUCUUGAGUGCAGAAGAGGAGAGUGGAACUCCAUGUGUAGCGGUGGAAUGCGUAGAUAUAUGGAAGAACACCAGUGGCGAAGGCGGCUCUCUGGUCUGCAACUGACGCUGAGGCUCGAAAAGCAUGGGUAGCGAACAGGAUUAGAUACCCUGGUAGUCCAUGCCGUAAAACGAUGAGCGCUAGGUGUUGGGGACUUUC